AAGUCUUUCUUCAGAUUGUGUUGUGGCCU
rnacentral:piRNA from 1 species